CCUACGGGAGGCAGCAGUGGGGGAUAUUGCACAAUGGGGGGAACCCUGAUGCAGCGACGCCGCGUGGGUGAAGAAGCGCCUCGGCGCGUAAAGCUCUGUCAGCAGGGAAGAAAAUGACGGUACCUGCUGAAGAAGCCCCGGCUAACUACGUGCCAGCAGCCGCGGUAAUACGUAGGGGGCAAGCGUUAUCCGGAUUUACUGGGUGUAAAGGGGGUGCAGACGGCUAUGCAAGACAGGGGUGAAAGCCCGGGGCUUAACCUCGGGACUGCUAUUGGAACUGGGUGGCUGGAGUGCAGGAGGGGAAAGUGGAAUUCCUGGUGUAGCGGUGAAAUUCGUAGAUAUCAGGUGGAACACCAGUGGCGAAGGCGACUAGCUGGA
rnacentral:rRNA from 1 species